UUAUUUUUUUUUCAAAUUAUACUAUUUCGAAAUAAAGACCUAAAACCCUAAAACUCAACUCUAAACCCUAAACCAUCAAUCAUAAACCUUUUUUUUUUGAAAUACGAACCUUGAACCCUAAACCCUAAACCAUCAAUCUUAAACCCUAUUUUUUUUUGAAAUACGAACCCUAAACCCUGAAACAUCAACUCUAAACCCUAAACCUCGAAACCUCAACUAUAAACCCUAAAUCCUAAACCUUCAACUCUAAACCUGAUUUAAAGUUGAUGUUUCAGAGUUUAGGGUUUAGAGUCGAUGUUUCAGAGUUUAGGGUUUAGAGUUGAUGAUUUAGAGUUUAAAGUUGAUGUUUAUAAACCCUAAAUCCUAAACCUUCAACUCUAAACCCUAAAGCAUCAACUCUAAACCCUAAACCCUAAACUUCAACUCUAAACCCUAAAC
rnacentral:lncRNA from 1 species